rnacentral:rRNA from 1 species
GGGGGGGGGGGGGGGGGGGGGGGGGGGGGGCGGGGGGGGGGGGGGGGGUGGGUGGGGGCGCCGAUUUGGGGGGCAGCGGACGGGGGAGUGACGCGGGGGGGGGCUGCCGUGGAGCGGGGGGCAACGUUUGGAAACGAAGGCUAAUACCGCAUAACAACGUUACACAUAAGUUUUACGUUUGAAAGAUGCCAUUGCAUCACUCAAAGAUGAUCCCGCGGUGUAUUAGAUAGUUGGGGAGGUAAAUGCUCACCAAGGCGAUGAUACAUAGCCGACCUGAGAGGAUGAUCAGCCACAUUGGGACUGAGACACGGCCCAAACUCCUACGGGAGGCAGCAGUAGGGAAUCUUCGGCAAUGGACGAAAGUCUGACCGAGCAACGCCGCGUGAGUGAAGAAGGUUUUCGGAUCGUAAAACUCUGUUGGUAGAGAAGAACGUUGGUGAGAGUGGAAAGCUCAUCAAGUGACGGUAACUACCCAGAAAGGGACGGCUAACUACGUG